GCCCCUACGGGAGGCAGCAGUGGGGGAUAUUGCACAAUGGGGGAAACCCUGAUGCAGCGACGCCGCGUGAGUGAAGAAGUAUUUCGGUAUGUAAAGCUCUAUCAGCAGGGAAGAAAAAAGACGGUACCUGACUAAGAAGCCCCGGCUAACUACGUGCCAGCAGCCGCGGUAAUACGUAGGGGGCAAGCGUUAUCCGGAUUUACUGGGUGUAAAGGGAGCGUAGACGGCAGGGCAAGUCUGGAGUGAAAGCCCGGGGCCCAACCCCGGGACUGCUUUGGAAACUGCCAUGCUAG
rnacentral:rRNA from 1 species